GGGUGCUCGCACACGUGGACUAAAAUCGGAACACACCCAGAAGAUCAGCGUGGCCCCUGCAUGAGGAUGGCACGCAAAUUUGUGACGUGUUCCUUGGUUUU
rnacentral:snRNA from 1 species